rnacentral:tRNA from 1 species
GUCUCAAUAGCUAAGUGGUAUAGCAUGCGAUUGCAGUUCUUCCAAUAUCGCAGGGUCAGGUGUUCGAACCACCUUUGGGACU